GUGCUUGCUUCAGUAGCACAUAUACUAGAAUUGGAAUGAUACAGAGAAGAUUAGCAUGGCCACUGUGCAAGGAUGACAUGCAAACAUAACCAUCAAAUGAGACCUCC